rnacentral:rRNA from 1 species
GAUGAACGCUGGCGGCGUGCCUAAUACAUGCAAGUCGAACGGUGGAUAGCAAUAUUCACAGUGGCGAACGGGUGAGUAACGCGUUGGUGACCUGCCUCAAAGCGAGGGAUAACAGACCGAAAGGUUUGCUAAUACCGCAUGAGUUACCGGGAGUUAGAGAGCUGGUAACAAAGGAGAAAUUCACUUUGAGAGGGGCCUGCGUCCCAUCAGCUAGUUGGUAAGGUAACGGCUUACCAAGGCGAUGACGGGUAGGGGACCUGAGAGGGUGGCCCCCCACAAUGGAACUGAAACACGGUCCAUACACCUACGGGUGGCAGCAGUAGGGGAUAUUGGUAAUCUGCGAAAGCGGGAACCAGCAACGCCGCGUGUGCGAUGAAGGCCUUCGGGUCGUAAAGCACUUUUCAUCGGGACGAGGAAGGACGGUACCGGUGGAAUAAGCCUCGGCUAACUACGUGCCAGCAGCCGCGGUAAAACGUAGGAGGCGAGCGUUAUCCGGAUUUACUGGGUGUAAAGCGCAUGCAGGCGGUUUACUAAGUUGGGUGUGAAAGCUCCUGGCUCAACUGGGAGAGGUUGCUCAAGACUGGUAGACUCGAGCGUGGUAGGGGAAGGCGGAAUUCCGGGUGUAGUGGUGAAAUGCGUAGAUAUCCGGAGGAACACCAGUGGCGAAGGCGGCCUUCUGGACCAUGACUGACGCUCAGAUGCGAAAGCUAGGGUAGCAAACGGGAUUAGAGACCCCGGUAGUCCUAGCCGUAAACGAUGUGAACUUGGCGCUGGGAGGGUAAAACCAUUCAGUGCCGUAGCAAACGCGAUAAGUUCACCACCUGGGGACUACGGCCGCAAGGUUAAAACUCAAAGGAAUUGACGGGGGCCCGCACAAGCAGCGGAGCGUGUGGUUUAAUUCGAUGCUACACGAAGAACCUUACCAGGGUUUGACAUGCAAGUGGUAUUGAAGCGAAAGCUAAGAGACCCUUCGGGGAGCUUGCACAGGUGCUGCAUGGCUGUCGUCAGCUCGUGUCGUGAGAUGUUCGGUUAAGUCCGCUAACGAGCGCAACCCUCUCUGUGUGUUACAUGUGUCACACGGGACUGCCAGUCUUAAGCUGGAGGAAGGUGGGGAUGACGUCAAGUCAGCAUGGCCUUUAUAUCCUGGGCUACACACACGCUACAAUGGCCGGCACAAUGGGUCGCGAAGUCGCGAGGCGAAGCCAAUCCCCAAAGUCGGUCUCAGUUCAGAUUGCAGGCUGCAACCCGCCUGCAUGAAGACGGAGUUGCUAGUAACCGCAGGUCAGCUAUACUGCGGUGAAUACGUUCCCGGGCCUUGUACACACCGCCCGUCACGUCAUGGGAGCUGGUAACACCUGAAGCCGGUAUCCUAACCGUAAGGAGGGAGCCGUCGAGGGUGGGGCCGGUGACUGGGACG